rnacentral:rRNA from 1 species
UACGUAGGGUGCGAGCGUUGUCCGGAAUUAUUGGGCGUAAAGAGCUCGUAGGCGGUGUGUCACGUCGGCCGUGAAAACCUGCAGCUUAACUGUGGGCGUGCGGUCGAUACGGGCAUCACUGGAGUUCGGCAGGGGAGACUGGAAUUCCUGGUGUAGCAGUGCAAUGCGCAGAUAUCAGGAGGAACACCGGUGGCGAAGGCGGGUCUCUGGGCCGAUACUGACGCUGAGGAGCGAAAGCGUGGGGAGCAAACAGG